AUUACAGAAACAUGGAUACUUAUUCAAUGUCAUCAUCAAAAAUCAUUCUUGGAUGAAGCUGAUGCAGACUGAGGGAACAGACAGUGCUCAUCUAUAGCCUUUCAAGCAUGUUGGUUUUAUAGACACAAAUUAUUGAAUCUUCAGAAGGAAGAGGGAGGAAAGUUGCCUUUGUCCCUAACAGUUUUGGUGAGCCCAGGCAGGAGAACAAGUCACUCUGCUCAGUUUAGAGGCUGUAAAUGGGACCCUGGGACAACUAACAAAAAAGCCAGCCAAGAAAGCUAUCUACAGUUUACGGGAAUAUGGGAAGGUGUACUUUUGUGUGCAGAAUUGAAAUUUUUUUUUCUCCCUACCUGAUCCCUCCAGAGUUUGGAGACUAUUUGUGAGAAAAAAUGUCACUUCCUGAGAGGCCCUGGAACCUGAAUAUAUUUUUGGGAACCUUGAGAAGAGAAGUAUUCACUCAAGUUUAAAGCCCUGAAAGCUGAAGCUGGUUGACUCCAGAUAAAUCACAAUAACAACUUAAAAUCUGUCAGAUUGUCACUGUCUAUCCACACUUCAACUGAAGAUGUUUUGAGGCCAAAUCUAGAAAUCUUUUCAACUGCUAGACUCAGAACUAGUUUAUAUGCUGCUUCAAUUAUUAACUUUUGUCUUUCUUUUGUUUCUUUAGAGAAGCCUCAUAUUAAAAACUUGUUUGCUUACACCAUGUAGAGACUUAACUGUGGGAACCCUGCAACACCACUUCCUAAAAUGAGACAUUUUUCUACUUAUUCCAAUAUAUGUUUUUCUUCCCUUUGCUAAUGUCUUAUCUCAAAAUGUCUAAAGCAAAUUUUCCACAGUUAUCAAUCCUAUUUUAAUAUGUAAAACUUUCUGAAAAUAAAUUUCAAAGAGGGGACUGUGGGAAACCAAAAUAUGCCAUCCAAAGCGUGCCUCUUUGGCAUAUUUUGAGAUGGCUAUUCAGAGGGUCUGCAGACACAAAGCAUGGCUCUGAAAAUUUAUCCUUUUGUAAAAUAAAUUUACAUGUAUAUAUUAAUAAAGCAAACAAGGGAUGCAGGCAGACGGUUUCUCUGAGGUCCUUUUAUUUGAAUCUAGGAAAGAUUAACUCACAGGAAAAGAAGACUAAAGACAGGUUUGACACUUUUAAAGGUCUGACAGAGAAACUAUUACCACAGGUUACCAUCUACUCUUUUUGAGGGCUAUUACCUGAUAGACCUUCUCUGCACAAUGAAACAACAGCCUUUGUUCACAGUGCAUUCUUCCCCUUACCCUUCCAUAACCUGUCACCACAGCCUCCAGGAGCUUCAGGCCUCUUUUUCUUUCUGUAUCAUAUAAAAACCUUAGGCCCUUCUUUGAGUCCUGUAUUUUGUGUAGCUCCCUGUGCACGUGCAUGUAAUAAAUUUGUAUGCUUUUUCCUGUGAAUCUGUCUGUUUGGUUUAUAGGCUCAAAUUAUCUAACCUUCAGAAGGGGUAAGAAAAAUUCCCUUCACUCCUAAACCAACUUAUUAUCUAGAAAAUUAUGAUGUACAUGAACCCCAGCACUGCUUAUGGGUCUCUGAUGGGGCGAAUUCUUCAGGAAUGAGGGAGUAUUGGCUGGAUGGGCAAAACAGGAAAGUGUGAGAGGUGUUUUGAGAUACCAUAAUAAUUGAGGGAAGAUACGAAAGAGCAAGAAACCAAAUGGAGGCAGAUAUAUUGGAGUGAUGUAGUUUUGGCUGUUAAGUGGGACUGGAGAAAAAAGUUUGCUAUCCUACACCUUCAACACCUUCAGUUUGAUUUAUUGUAUCAAAAUUUGAACAGGCUGUACCAACUUACAAUGAGAUCUAUUCUCCACAUCUUAAAAACUUUUUAAUGGGAUAGUUUUACUACAAUAAAAAUAAAUUGUGUUUUCAAGUAGAAAAGAUCAUUUGUUCUAUCUUCAAAACAUAUUACUGACUAAAAGCAAGCAGGAGGUAUAGUAAAUAAGCUCUUAUUGAAAAGACAAGUCUCAGGAAAAAGUAGACAUAGUUUUAGGCUAUUUUUCCAUCUCACUAGGGUGUUAGCCCACACAAAACAAGCUACAGAGAUUAUUUUCACCCUCACGUUGUUACAUAGUUGUUGUUGGAAUAAUCACAUGGGGAGCAAUCAAUGCCACAAAAAUGUUUCAAUACAGAUGUGUUUUUCCUCUGAGUUUUGAGUGAAUUAGGGUACAGAUAAAUGAACCUGCACAGGGGAGGAGAAACUACUACAGUGUAUUUUCUUCAAAUAGACCAGGGUUCAAUUUGAUUUGGAGUUUAGCAAAUUAAACGCAAGAGAUAAAGAAACAUUGAGUGUUUGCUCUCAAUUCUGGUAUGAGACAAAAUGAGGUAGUAGCAGGAUACUGAAAAUUAUUUUUGGGAUAUGUGAGGUGAGUGUUACCCCUUGUUAUCAUAUUAAGACAGAUAUAGGGCCUUGGAUCUGGGGUCUCAGCAAACUUGAAUCCUUUGCAUAAGGGAAUAGUUUGAAUUUGAACCAAUGGAGCCUGUUAUUUCAAUUUGUGUCCUUGUUUGGGCACAAGCCUUUUUUUUUUUCUUUUCUUUUUUUUUUUUUCAGUUGACUUCCACAAGUGAUUACUGAGUGGCAAGCAUGUACCAGGUACCAUGCUAGGCAGAGGCAGUAAAAUGAUGAAUAAAACACAGCAGAAUUUACAGUUUGGUGGGAUAGCAAAACACAGAAAUAGAUAACUCAGUAUAAUGUGGUGAAUGCUAAGAGACUUAGCUCAAAUCAGCUUGUUUUGAAAAUUUUAACUGUUGCCAAGCUACUAGUAAAUGAGUUCAAAUUGUCCACUUUAGCCUUCUAAACCCUGAUUGUUUCUGUGCAGUUUUAAUUCUCAUUACUAUACUGUGUGAUCUUUCUGAUUCAGAUCCAAACAGAUUUCUCUUUUAUGAGCCUUAUUGUCUCCCAUUUCUCACCUUGGAUCUUGAAGCCAUAGUAACAUCUUUCUCACAUUCUUUUCUCUUUUAUCUCUAUCCAUCUUUCCUAACCCAGGUUAAUUCCUUGGUCUUUUGCAAUACCAUAUUAUAUUCACUGAUUUAUUAUUAACAUGUCUAAAAUGGAAAUUUUCAUUCUUGAAGCCAGUUUUCUUCCUCAUAAAUCUUCUCCCAUCUCAAGAAAUGGAAGCUUCUAUUUUUCUGCUUAGGCCAAAAUUCUGGAACCUCUCUUUGUUGAAUGCCACAUAUCUACUCCAUUAGUGAAUUCUGCCUAGUAAACCUCCAAAAUAUAUCCAGAUUUUGACCACUUCUCUCUGCCCCCUCACACACACACACAUACACACACACACACACACACACACACACACACACACACACAGGCCCAAAGCCACUGUGAUCUGAAUAACCUUCUGAUUCUUCUGUUCUCUCCAUGUUUGCGCUCCUCCAAUCUAUUCAGAGUGCAUAAGUAAUUCUUUUAAAACCUAAGUUAGAUCAGGUUCCUUCUUGGCUUAAAAUUUUGAAGUCUCACCAUGGCUUAUAAAUCCCUCUGUAAUCUGUGCCUUUCCCUCCUCCAGCAAGUCUUUCAACUUCGUUUCUUU
rnacentral:lncRNA from 10 species